rnacentral:misc_RNA from 1 species
AAGUCGUAACAAGGUUUCCGUAGGUGAACCUGCGGAAGGAUCAUUAACAACAUAUCCUAACUAAAAAACCCUGUGAACUUUCAACCCCAAAUCGCUUGAUCCGAGUACCUCAGCAAUCUCUGGUAAAUCAUUGUGAACAGCUUUGAGUCAGAGACCUCUGAAUAACCUUGCGCGGUCGCGGUUGGUGAGGCAAGUGACCUGGUACCCUCAAGACCAGUGUUCAAUGAUCUGUCAGUGUUCAUUGACUGGAAUCAAACGUUCUGUCAGUGUGCGUUUGAUUUGCAAGGGUGGCGCAGUAAACGAUCGCUGGAGGCCGACACGGCCGCUUUGCUCCCACUGUUACUACUUACAAGAUUUCCCAAUUAGUGAAAGCUAUUGGGCUAUAACUAAACGACUGUUAACAAUGGAUAUCUCGAUUCUC